rnacentral:rRNA from 2 species
AGGAUAGGUGGGAGGCUUUGAAGCGUGGACGCCAGUCUGCGUGGAGCCGACCUUGAAAUACCACCCUUUAAUGUUUGAUGUUCUAACGUGGAUCCGUAAUCCGGGUUGCGGACAGUGUCUGGUGGGUAGUUUGACUGGGGCGGUCUCCUCCUAAAGAGUAACGGAGGAGCACGAAGGUUGGCUAAUCCUGGUCGGACAUCAGGAGGUUAGUGCAAUGGCAUAAGCCAGCUUGACUGCGAGCGUGACGGCGCGAGCAGGUGCGAAAGCAGGUCAUAGUGAUCCGGUGGUUCUGAAUGGAAGGGCCAUCGCUCAACGGAUAAAAGGUACUCCGGGGAUAACAGGCUGAUACCGCCCAAGAGUUCAUAUCGACGGCGGUGUUUGGCACCUCGAUGUCGGCUCAUCACAUCCUGGGGCUGAAGUAGGUCCCAAGGGUAUGGCUGUUCGCCAUUUAAAGUGGUACGCGAGCUGGGUUUAGAACGUCGUGAGACAGUUCGGUCCCUAUCUGCCGUGGGCGCUGGAGAACUGAGGGGGGCUGCUCCUAGUACGAGAGGACCGGAGUGGACGCAUCACUGGUGUUCGGGUUGUCAUGCCAAUGGCACUGCCCGGUAGCUAAAUGCGGAAGAGAUAAGUGCUGAAAGCAUCUAAGCACGAAACUUGCCCCGA